rnacentral:rRNA from 1 species
GGUGGGGAUGACGUCAAAUCAUCAUGCCCCUUAUGUCUUGGGCUUCACGCAUGCUACAAUGGCCGGUACAAAGGGUUGCGAUACUGUGAGGUUGAGCUAAUCCCAAAAAGCCGGUCUCAGUUCGGAUUGGGGUCUGCAACUCGACCCCAUGAAGUCGGAGUCGCUAGUAAUCGCAGAUCAGCAACGCUGCGGUGAAUACGUUCCCGGGCCU